UAUUUUUCACAUUGACAGAGUAGGAAAACAGUUCUUGGGGAAAAAGAAAAUUAAAGAGAUCUGACAAAAUUAUAAAGUUAGCUUGAAAACUGACAGUUUAAGGGAGUUCAUGUUCUUAGGACUGAAAAGAUGUUACAUUGGUCCUGACCCAUCUCCUGAGAGGAGGCCACCAGGUCUCUCUCUGCAAUCCAGUGCUCCAGGUCCUUCACCUCUCGGCUCAGCAGGAAGUGGUGGGUCUUUCUAAGCGUGUCCCAGGCUCCAUCCAGCUCUCCUUUGCGAGCCAAGAUAUCUGCUGCGUUCUCGGGGUGAUCCUGAG